UCAAGAACGUCUUAUUGUCCUUCCUCGUUUACCCCCUUUUGACUAUCAGCCGAUAUGUCAGUGUAUUUUUUUGCUGGCCCCUUCUAUAUUUUUUAGGCUAUAAAUAUACAUGGAGAGAUAUGAUAGUAGUUGGAUGGUCUAGCAUGUCAGACCUACUUCAAAUGGCACUUUUGCUAAUUGUUUCUGAUGAAUCCUGGUCCUGUAAAUUGGGAAGUAGUAGAAAAAUGGAUAGAAUUUAAUAGCUCACCAAAAAAAAAAGAUGCUGUGAAUGACGAGGAAGGUAACACGGCAAAGCCUAAGUCCACGUACAGUUAUGAACUUCUACUGAGGUAAUGCUCGAGUUACAUAUACUCCCAACUCAGAAGUAUUAGAAGCUUUAAAUGUACAUGGAGAGUUACCAGUUGUAGAAUUAACACCAAAUAUGAAUUUCAAAAUGAAUUCCGAGCACGUUAUUAUGAAAGAUUUUUCGUUUGGGGAGAUGGGUGUUCUAACUGGGCGACAUUAUAACUCAAGAGUAAUGGUAGAAACUCCGUGUAUGUGCUAUCUCUUACCUUUAGGAUGUUUUCAUACAAUUUUUGAGAACAAUUCGAGUCCCUAUAAUAACAUGGAAGCUGCUAUGUGGAAACAUGCGACAACUAUGAUUGCUUAUCAAUUACUGAUGGAGAGUCGAGCAUUUACGUCAACUAAAGAAGAAAUAUUUGAAUUAGUUGAUAGAGCUUUUAUUCCCAAUUUAAAAGAUUACAAAAUUUUUGUAGUGCAUAGUGAUAUAGAAGAACUUUUGUUAAUUGAAGGGAUAAUAUUAGAUAUCCCACGGAACAAAAUGUAUAUCGCUCCUUGUUGCAUUCCUAGAAAUGUAGAAAAAAUUGCUUUAUCCAAAA